UUCCUGGUAGCUUAGCUGGUAAAGAACCUGCCUGCAAUGUAGGAGACCCCAGUUCAGUUACUGGGUCAGGAA
rnacentral:tRNA from 1 species